UCUAGCAAUUGGAUUCCUACCGAGCUUCGCUAACGGAAAGUCUCUGUCCGAGCUUCUACAGUAGGUGACCCCCACCUGUAGUAUCAGCGCCUAAGGUACCCGACAACAGUAGACUCAUCAGUAGCUUCGGAGACAUCCGAGCUUCUCCCAGACCAAUAAUAGAGAGCCAUUCCACUCCAUCAGAUGUCCUAGCCGAGCUCCAGCCGAC
rnacentral:lncRNA from 1 species